GAGAAUUGGAAUGGAAAAGUGCAGAAACAGAUCAAACAUGUGCAUUCAUCUGAUUUAUGAAAAGGUGAUGCUGCAGUGCAAUGGAGACGGUAUGGUCUUUUUAAUAAACAGUGUGGGUCAAAUGGGUAUACACAUGGAAAAAAUAAUCUUGAACUCUCAUUUACACCAUACUAAAAACUAAUUUCAGAUGAAUCGUAAUCUAAAUACAAAAACAAAACAAUAAAACUCUUAGGGAUAAAAGACCAUGGUCAUGAUCUUGGGGUAGGGAGAAUCUCUUAAAUAGGACAUAAAAAGAAAAAGAUUAUAACAUGGAUUACAAGAAAAUUAAAACCUCCCGUUAAUAAAAAAAAUGAAAAAUCGCUAAAAAAAACCAAACACACCAAAACCACUAAAAAACAUACACUAAAAAACCAAAACACUGUUGAGGAGAGUGAAGAAGCAAGCCACAGUAGGGGAAAAGAGACUUGCAAUACAAAUAUCUAACAAAGGAAUAGAAUAUAUAACUACCACAAAUUAAUAAGGCAGAAACAAUCAUCUAAAGAGAAAUUAGGCAAAAUACUUGAAUAAAUACUUCUUUAAAGGGGAUAUAAAAUGGGUCCAUAAAAAUGUGAAAAGAUGCUCAACUUUAUUAGUUGUCAGGAAAAUGCAAAUUUAAACCAUAAUGAUGUAGCAGUGCAUAAUGACCAGAGUGGCUAAAAUGAAAAAAGAUAAUACUAAAUGUUGACAAAGAUGUGAAACAAGUAGAACAUUCCAUACAGUUACUGGUGAGAGUACAAACUGGUAGAAUCACUUUGGGAAACUUGAGCAGUAUCUACCAAAACUGAACACAGACAUCCCUUUAACCCAGGAUUUCCACUUCUUGAUAGAUAUCUAAGAGAAAUGCAUAACCUAUGUUCACAAAAAACAUAUACAAGUAUUUUUAUGGUAGCACUGUUUAUAAUAACCCAACUAUGAAAACAACCCAAAUGUCUAUUAACAGUAGAAUGGGUAAAUAAAUUGUAAUAUGCUUAUGCAAAGGAAUACUAUUCAAUGAUAGUGAGUAUGUACAGGCAACAACAUGGAAAAAUUUUACAAACAUAAUGCUAAAAGAAACCAGACAUAGAAGAGUACCCUCUCUGUAAUUCCAUUUGUAUAAAGUUCAAAACCAGGCAAAAUUAAUUUAAGGUAUGAGAAACUGGGAGAGUGAUUAUCCAUGGUGAGGGAUACCAGUUGGGUAGGGGGUUGUUUUAAGCACAGUGAAUUUAUCAAAUAUCCUAUUAGAAAUAAACAUUAUUUGAGUUUCCUUCACAUUUGUUAACAGUGAUCAUCAUGGUAUUUCAAGUGGGAUAAAUGAGUAACAAAAUAGUAAAAACACAAAAUUACUAUCAAAGAUACAAAUUCAAUUCAGAUUGUCAACCUUUCCUCCUCUAAAGUCUGCAUAAAACAUGUCUAGGUUUUGCAAAACUUAUAAUUCACUUUAUGAAGCCUUCACUAUAUUCUCUUUUAAGAAAAAAAUGAUAUUUUUAAUCCAUAUCUUUAUUUGCAAAACUGUAAAAAAAGAAGUGAGUAAAUUACUUUGAAAUAAAUCAAACACAGGCAGUCACUUUCCCAAUCAACCUUUUAUCUCAUCAGGACAACUGUGAACACCUAGAAUGCUGUUUCUCAAAGCCCAGUGCAUAGAAUCCCUACAUCACUACCCCUCUUAGAAUCUGUUGCCACAUCAAUAUAAAAUGGGCAUGACAAGAGCAACUAUCUAAAGUUGUUGCAAGGAUUAAAUGAGACAAUGCAUAUAAAAUUCAUUACCCCAGAACACAGUGACUGCUCAGCAGACGCUAACAUUUAAUACUAACAGUCUUAAUUUAUUUUUGAUGAUGUCAUCAUCACAAUAACCUGACAUGCUCAUUAAAUCACUAUUGAUUUCUAGACUCAACCCCGGACCUACCAAAGCUGAAGGGCCCU
rnacentral:lncRNA from 1 species